AUUGUACAGCAAGUGUAGAUUACAAGAUUGCUGAAGUAAAUCAUAUCUCUGGCUGUAAUUGCAGAAAUAUGCACAUUGUAGAAGACUGGAGUCUAGUUUAGAGGUAGCUAGUUCCAGAAUGGCAGAAUUGGAUCCUCCUCGAGAGAAUUCUGAUUCAAGAGGAAACAAAAUCUUAGCUUCUACACUAGAAACUGGUCCAUGGAGAGUCCCAGUAAAGAGGAUUCGAGACCCAAAUGGAGAAAUGGAUGGGUGUUUGUGACUGCAUUUUAACCAAAGAUGGACCUGGAACAAUUGCGGAGGCGUUGAUAAGGGGCUUUCCAAUCAUGAAGCAAUGGCUAGGCAGUUGUAUUGCAGGCUCUGGUGUUGUGUUGGUGCAGUCGGUGUGUCCAAGGGAUAGGAGGGUUUUACUAAAACAUAAGUGUUAUUAGAUUUAUUUUUAUUUUUUUUGGUGUUGAAGUUUUGU